rnacentral:lncRNA from 10 species
UUGGGGUUUGCAUCCAACUCACCAGCUGGUCCUGAGGCUGCAUCUGCCUCUCCAGGGUCUUAGAUACAUGAUGGCACUGUUGGCUUCCUGAAGACCUCUUCAUCCUGCAGAAGGUGCAACUCCACAGCAUCCUGAGAGGUUGGACACAAGCUGCUGGGAGCACAAAGGAACCCUGCCUGCCAGGCUUGAGUGUCAGAAUCUGGGCUUUCACCUGCAGGGACCUCAGGCCUCCAUCAGCCAGGCUUGGAAAGAAUGAAUGGUGCCUCUCGGUGAAUUACUACAACCUGAAUCCUGUGACCCCACCUGUGAUGGCCCAAUGUUAUUGAAAUUACUGACUCCAUCCACUUAGCAAGUGGUAAAUACUCUGCAGGCAUAGAUUUGACUAAUGUGUUCUGUUCAGCGCCUAUUUCAACAGAUCUCAGCUGCAGGUUGCUUUCACCCCCGAAGGGACACAAUAGACCGUUAUCUGGCUACCACGGGGUACCUCGACAGUUCUGCCACCAUACACAAUCUUUGCAGGCAGGAUUUGAACUGCAUCUGACAUUCUCUAGGAGUACAGGUGUAACAUCACCCUGAAGACACCCUUCUUUCAGCAAAUUCAUUUGACACACUCAGGACAUUACUCACAAAGAACUCAUAGAAAAGGAUGGGGUUUGUGUUUCCACAUGGUGGGAUUAAACUAAAACAAAAAAGUAUGGGCCACUGCCCCAGGCAUAGUACAGGGAUCCACACCAAUUUCUGGCCAUUGUCUGGUCAGUUGAGGGAUGCUCCAUCCCU